GUCUUAAUUGGGCGUUAAGUUGCAGGGUAUAGACCCGAAACCCGGUGAUCUAGCCAUGGGCAGGUUGAAGGUUGGGUAACACUAACUGGAGGACCGAACCGACUAAUGUUGAAAAAUUAGCGGAUGACCUGUGGCUGGGGGUGAAAGGCCAAUCAAACCGGGAGAUAGCUGGUUCUCCCCGAAAGCUAUUUAGGUAGCGCCUCGUGAAUUCAUCUCCGGGGGUAGAGCACUGUUUCGGCUAGGGGGCCAUCCCGGCUUACCAACCCGAUGCAAACUGCGAAUACCGGAGAAUGUUAUCACGGGAGACACACGGCGGGUGCUAACGUCCGUCGUGAAGAGGGAAACAACCCAGACCGCCAGCUAAGGUCCCAAAGUCAUGGUUAAGUGGGAAACGAUGUGGGAAGGCCCAGACAGCCAGGAUGUUGGCUUAGAAGCAGCCAUCAUUUAAAGAAAGCGUAAUAGCUCACUGGUCGAGUCGGCCUGCGCGGAAGAUGUAACGGGGCUAAACCAUGCACCGAAGCUGCGGCAGCGAACGUAUCACCCAAGACAACUUUACGGAGUUGACGAUUGACGGAGCGAAGCGACGUCAAAGCGUUCAUUAAAGUCGAGUUGGCUUAGGGAUACGUUCGUUGGGUAGGGGAGCGUUCUGUAAGCCUGUGAAGGUGUGUCGUGAGGCAUGCU
rnacentral:rRNA from 1 species